AAGAGAUUGCUCAAAAAUUGUGGAAAGAAGGGCAUGGUGUAGCGUUGAGGUCUUAACGUGAUAAACUCUUAGGAGACACAAGUAUAUAUGUGGUGGACACAUUAGGUGAAUGGAAACACCUUUAUAAGUUAUCCCCUGUAGCUGUAAUCGGAGGUUCCUUCUUUCCUAGCCUUUCUGGCCAUAACAUAUCAGAAGCUGCUGCAGCAGGCUGUGCAACUG